rnacentral:misc_RNA from 1 species
GAUGAAGAACGUAGCGAAAUGCGAUACUUGGUGUGAAUUGCAGAAUCCCGUGAACCAUCGAGUCUUUGAACGCAAGUUGCGCCCGAAGCCAUCAGGUUGAGGGCACGUCUGCCUGGGCGUCACAUAUCGUUGCCCAAUGCCUAUUGCAGUGCAAUAGGAAUUUCUAGGGCGAAUGAUGGCUUCCCGUGAGCGUUGUUGCCUCGCGGUUGGUUGAAAAUCGAGUCCUUGGUAGGGUGUGCCAUGGUAGAUGGUGGUCGAGUUAGAACGAUACCGAUCAUGUGCAUGCUCCCCAAAAUAUGGCCUCUAUGACCCACACGCGUCUUUUGACGCUCAUGACGAGACCUCAGGUCAGGCGGGGCUACCCGCUGAAUUUAAGCAUAUCAAUAAACGGAGGA